UUAGUCGCGGUCUCAUGGUUCCGCCCAGUGCCUCUUCCUGCCAACUGGGACGUUUAUUAGCAUACAUACGGUAGGCCGGAGAAUCUAGUCCAGUUUAAACUCACAUUCAGAUUGUACAUUUGUGGUUUGGAUGUUGAAACUUUAAUAAGUGGUUACAUACGAUUUGGAUAACUACCGACAUAUUUAAGGUUGAAUACAGUGGUUCAAAAGUACGGAAACCCUUGCGGGUCAAAUUUCUUUUUUCAUCUUAAAUUUGGAUUUAUAAGCGGUGAUUGUAUCUAAGUUAACUUCAAUUUGAGACUUUAUCUAAGCUAGAAGUGAACUAAUUUCCUGAAGGAUUCUGCAAAGACGAUUCAGGAUCCAAUUCACAACACGUUUUUGUUUUCCUACGGAGUUUAUUGCAAGUUUUCGAGUAAGCUUUUUAAUGUUGGAUAAAUUCCCGAGCUUUCCAAAGAGGAAGAUCCCUCCCUGAGCAUGUUCAGACGUCGGCUGAGGUUACGUCAUGAAGGACGUUUGGCCACGUGACAGUCAUGCGAGCCGGGGGUCAGAGCGUUGUUCAAGUUGGCUUAUUUCUGCUAGCCUGUUCCCAGGUGUGGGCAUUUUACGGACUCACGUCGAAGGAGUCAAUCCUGACGCCAGAUUUCCAGAAGAUGCGUGACCCUCCCAAGGUCGACGCCGCUGGCCUCUGUAACAGGCUGGGCCUGCACCGGAAACAGAAGAGAAUUUGCCGCAAAGGGAAAGGGAUGGCGCAAACGUUAGCGGCCGCUACAGGCCUGUCCGCAGAGGAGUGCAUGUACCAGUUCCGCUACGAACGCUGGAACUGUUCGCUCGGAAAUUACCGGAAAAAUAUUCUUGA